ACCAUUUGGAUCCCUUCCAGUCGGGAUUCAGGCCUCAUCAUGGGACUGAAACUGCCUUGGUCGCACUGGUUGAUGAUCUCCGGCGGGCUAGGGACAAAGGUGAGAGCUGUUUCCUAGUUCUGCUGGAUCUCUCAGCGGCGUUUGAUACCAUCGACCAUAACAUCCUUCUGGACCGUCUUGAGGGGCUGGGAGCUGGGGGCACUGUUAUACAGUGGUUCCGCUCCUUCCUCCUGGGCCGUGUUCAGAAAGUGGUGGUGGGGGAUGAGUGUUCAGACCCCUGGGCCCUCACUUGUGGGGUGCCUCAGGGUUCUGUCCUCUCCCCCAUGCUUUUCAACAUCUACAUGAAGCCGCUGGGAGAGAUCAUCAGGGGAUUUGGGCUGGGUGUUCAUCAGUAUGCAGAUGAUACCCAGCUCUACCUCUCUUUCAAAUCAGAACCAGUGAAGGCAGUGAAGGCCCUGUGUGAGUGCCUGGAGGCGGUUGGAGGUUGGAUGGCGGCUAACAGAUUGAGGUUGAAUCCUGACAAGACAGAAGUACUGUUUUUGGGGGACAGGAGGCGGGCAGGUGUGGAGGAUUCCCUGGUCCUGAAUGGGGUAACUGUGCCCCUGAAGGACCAGGUGCGCAGCCUGGGAGUCAUUUUGGACUCACAGCUGUCCAUGGAGGCACAGGUCAAAUCUGUGUCCAGGGCAGCUGUUUACCAGCUCCAUCUGGUACGCAGGCUGAGACCCUAUCUGCCUGCGGACUGCCUCGCCAGAGUGGUGCAUGCUCUGGUUAUCUCCCGCUUGGAUUACUGCAAUGCGCUCUACGUGGGGCUACCUUUGAAGGUGACCCGGAAACUACAACUAAUCCAGAACGCGGCAGCUAGACUGGUGACUGGGAGCGGCCGCAGAGACCACAUAACACCGGUCUUGAAAGACCUACAUUGGCUCCCAGUACGUUUCCGAGCACAAUUCAAAGUGUUGGUGCUGACCUUUAAAGCCCUAAACGGCCUUGGUCCAGUAUAUCUGAAGGAGCGUCUCCUCCCCCAUCGUUCUACCCGGACACUGAGGUCCAGCACUGAGGGCCUUCUGGCGGUUCCCUCACUGCGAGAAGCCAAGUUACAGGGAACCAGGCAGAGGGCCUUCUCGGUAGUGGCGCCUUCCCUGUGGAACACCCUCCCACCAGAUGUCAAAGAGAACAACAACUACCAGGCUUUUAGAAGACAUCUGAAGGCAGCCCUGUUUCGGGAAGCUUUUAAUGUUUGAUGUAUUAUAGUAUUUUAAUAUUCUUUUGGAAGCCGCCCAGAGUGGCCGGGGAAGCCCAGCCAGAUGGGCGGGGUAUAAAUAAUAAAUUAUUAUUAUUAUU